UUCUAUUAGAAAUAAUUAAUAGUAAGAUCUGCUCAAUGAUUUUAAAUAGCCGCUUAUGUGCUAAGGUAGCAUAAUCAUUUGUCUUUUAAUUGAAGACUAGAACAAAAGAUUUAACAUUUUAGUUAAUAUUUAAUAUUAAAUAAUCAAAAUUACCUAAAUAGUAAAAAGACUAUUAUAUUUCAGAAAGACGACAAGACCCUAUUGAACUUAACUAUAGUUAAGCUGGGGCAGCUAAAAAAUAAUUAUUUUUUUUAAAAAAUUUUUUAAUAAAAGAUCUAAUAUAAUUAAUUAAAUGAUUAAGUUACCAUAGGGAUAACAGCGUAAUAUAUUUUUAAAGAUCAUAUACAAAUAUAUGAUUACGACCUCGAUGUUGAAUAAUAACCUAGUUAAAGCAAAAAUUAAACCAGGAAGUCUGUUCGACUUAUAAAUAAUUACA
rnacentral:rRNA from 1 species